UGACGGAGGAUCCCAAAGCGUUUGAUCCGGAAUUUAUUGGGUUUAAAGGGUGCGUUAGGCGGCCUAUUAAGAUCCAGGGGUGAAAGACGGUGGCUCAACCAUCGCAGUGGCCUUUGAUACUGAUAGGGCUUGAAUACACUAGAGGUAGGCGGAAUGUGACAAGUAGCGGUGAAAAUGCAUAGAUAUGUCACAGAACACCGGAU
rnacentral:rRNA from 1 species